rnacentral:rRNA from 1 species
UACGUAGGCAGCGAGCGUUGUUCGGAGUUACUGGGCGUAAAGGGUGUGUAGGCGGUUUUCUAAGUUUGGUGUGAAAUCUCCCGGCUUAACCGGGAGGGUGCGCCGAAAACUGGGAGACUAGAGUGCGGGAUGGGAGAGUAGAAUUCCUGGUGUAGCGGUGAAAUGCGUAGAUAUCUGGAGGAAUACCGGUGGCGAAGGCGGCAUCCUGGACCGGCAUUGACGCUGAGGAGCGAAAGCCAGGGGAGCAAACGGG